rnacentral:rRNA from 1 species
GACGAACGCUGGCGGCGUGCUUAACACAUGCAAGUCGAGCGGUAAGGCCCUUUCGGGGUACACGAGCGGCGAACGGGUGAGUAACACGUGGGUGACCUGCCCUUAGCUCUGGGAUAAGCCGUGGGAAACUGGGUCUAAAUACCGGAUAUGACUCCAUGACGCAUGUUGUGGGGUGAAAAGCCGUUGUGCGGCUAGGGAUGGGCCCGCGGCCUAUCAGCUUGUUGGUGGGGUGAUGG